UACGUAGGGUGCAAGCGUUGUCCGGAAUUAUUGGGCGUAAAGAGCUUGUAGGCGGUUUGUCGCGUCUGCUGUGAAAUUUCGGGGCUCAACCCCGAACUUGCAGUGGGUACGGGCAGACUAGAGUGUGGUAGGGGAGACUGGAAUUCCUGGUGUAGCGGUGAAAUGCGCAGAUAUCAGGAGGAACACCGGUGGCGAAGGCGGCAUCCUGGACCGGCAUUGACGCUGAGGAGCGAAAGCCAGGGGAGCAAACGGG
rnacentral:rRNA from 1 species